rnacentral:rRNA from 1 species
AGUGAACGCUGGCGGUAGGCCUAACACAUGCAAGUCGAACGGCGGCACAGUAAGAGCUUGCUCUUACGGGUGGCGAGUGGCGGACGGGUGAGGAAUACAUCGGAAUCUACUUUUUCGUGGGGGAUAACGUAGGGAAACUUACGCUAAUACCGCAUACGACCUACGGGUGAAAGCAGGGGAUCUUCGGACCUUGCGCGAUUGAAUGAGCCGAUGUCGGAUUAGCUAGUUGGCGGGGUAAAGGCCCACCAAGGCGACGAUCCGUAGCUGGUCUGAGAGGAUGAUCAGCCACACUGGAACUGAGACACGGUCCAGACUCCUACGGGAGGCAGCAGUGGGGAAUAUUGGACAAUGGGCGCAAGCCUGAUCCAGCCAUACCGCGUGGGUGAAGAAGGCCUUCGGGUUGUAAAGCCCUUUUGCUGGGAAAGAAAAGCAGCAGGUUAAUACCCCGCUGUUCUGACGGUACCCAAAGAAUAAGCACCGGCUAACUUCGU